CGGCACGGGUGAGUAACACGUAUCCAACCUGCCGUCUACUCUUGGGCAGCCUUCUGAAAGGAAGAUUAAUACAAGAUGGCAUCAUGAGUCCGCAUGUUCACAUGAUUAAAGGUAUUCCGGUAGACGAUGGGGAUGCGUUCCAUUAGAUAGUAGGCGGGGUAACGGCCCACCUAGUCUUCGAUGGAUAGGGGUCCUGAGAGGAAGGUCCCCCACAUUGGAACUGAGACACGGUCCAA
rnacentral:rRNA from 1 species